UUUCAAGGAGACCUAUCUACUCGUUCAAGCAUUUUUAUAGCUGAGCGAAGUAGGUCAACUUAGGUCGGUCAGGGCUUAUUUAGGUUGGCUUUCAAUAUUGUCGGGUUUAUUUUAUGGGCUAUUAGCUCAGGUGGUUAGAGCGCACCCCUGAUAAGGGUGAGGUCCCUGGUUCGAGUCCAGGAUGGCCCACUGAGUGGGGGUAUAGCUCAGCUGGUAGAGCGCCUGCUUUGCAAGCAGGAUGUCAGCGGUUCGAGUCCGCUUACCUCCACCAAUUUUAGGAAAUGUUGAGUAUUAGAGAAUAGCACCGUACUCACUGUUUGGUGAAGUAAGCUGCUGAGCUCUAAGUUCAGCGAUAGACCCUUGACAACUGCAUAGAGAAAAUUGAGUCAAAAGGUAGUUAAAGACAAAACUAUUCGCAAAGGAUAGAGAGAAGGUCAAGCUACAAAGGGCUCACGGUGGAUAC
rnacentral:tRNA from 1 species